rnacentral:rRNA from 1 species
AAACUGACGCUGAGAGACGAAAGCUAUGGUAGCGAACAAGAUUAGAUACCUUGGUAGUCAUAGCUGUAAACGAUGGAAACUAAGUAGGGGGACACCUCUGCUGUAGCUAACGCGUUAAGUUUCCCGCCUGGGGAGUACGUUCGCAAGAAUGAAACUCAAAGGAAUUGACGGGAACCUGCACAAUCGGUGGAUCAUGUGGUUUAAUCUGAUGCAACACGAAGAACCUUACCAGGUUUUGACAUACCCAGAAUGCCCUAGAAAUAGGGUAGUGUUUAUAGAUUAAGUCUAUAAAAACUGGGCUACAGGUGGUGCAUGGCUGUCGUCAGCUCGUGCGUUGACGUGUACGGUUAAGUCCUUCAACGAGCGCAACCCUCGUCUUUAGUUAUUUACUCUAAAGAGACUGCAAACGUAAGUUUGAGGAAGGUGGGGAUUACGUCAAGUCAUCAUGCCCCUUAUAACCUGGGCUACACACGUGAUACAAUGGUUGGGACAAUGAGAAGCAACUCCGCGAGGAUUAGCGAAUCUACAAACCCAGCCCCAGUUCGGAUUGCAGGCUGCAACUCGCCUGCAUAAGGUG